GGUGCAAGCGUUAAUCGGAAUUACUGGGCGUAAGGCGUGCGCAGGCGGUUGUGUAAGUCAGAUGUGAAAUCCCCGGGCUCAACCUGGGAAUUGCAUUUGAGACUGCACGGCUAGAGUGUGUCAGAGGGGGGUAGAAUUCCACGUGUAGCAGUGAAAUGCGUAGAUAUGUGGAGGAAUACCGAUGGCGAAGGCAGCCCCCUGGGAUAACACUGACGCUCAUGCACGAAAGCGUGGGGAGCAAACAGGAUUAGAUACCCUGGUAGUCCACGCCCCAAACGAUGUCUACUAGUUGUCGGGUCUUAAUUGACUUGGUAACGCAGCUAACGCGUGAAGUAGACCGCCUGGGGAGUACGGUCGCAAGAUUAAAACUCAAAGGAAUUGGCGGGGGAGCACGGGGCGGGGGCGGCGGGCCGGGCGCGGGGCGCGGCGG
rnacentral:rRNA from 1 species